ACGAACGCUGGCGGCGUGCCUAAUACAUGCAAGUUGAGCGCUGAAGGUUGGUACUUGUACCAACUGGAUGAGCAGCGAACGGGUGAGUAACGCGUGGGGAAUCUGCCUUUGAGCGGGGGACAACAUUUGGAAACGAAUGCUAAUACCGCAUAAAAACUUUAAACACAAGUUUUAAGUUUGAAAGAUGCAAUUGCAUCACUCAAAGAUGAUCCCGCGUUGUAUUAGCUAGUUGGUGAGGUAAAGGCUCACCAAGGCGAUGAUACAUAACCGACCUGAGGGUGAUCGGCCACAUUGGGACUGAGACACGGCCCAAACUCCUACGGGAGGCAGCAGUAGGGAAUCUUCGGCAAUGGACGAAAGUCUGACCGAGCAACGCCGCGUGAGUGAAGAAGGUUUUCGGAUCGUAAAACUCUGUUGGUAGAGAAGAACGUUGGUGAGAGUGGAAAGCUCAUCAAGUGACGGUAACUACCCAGAAAGGGACGGCUAACUACGUG
rnacentral:rRNA from 1 species